AGAAUCAACGCUGGCGGCGUGCCUAACACAUGCAAGUCGCGCGCGAAUUGGGGGCAACUCCUUAGUAGAGCGGCGAACGGGUGAGUAACACGUGGGUAAUCUACCUUCGAGUGGGGAACAACACCGGGAAACUGGUGCUAAUUCCGCAUGACAUCGUCGGGGCUUCGGUCCUGACGAUCAAAGCCGGGGAUCGCAAGACCUGGCGCUUGAAGAUGAGCCCGCGUCCGAUUAGCUAGUUGGCGGGGUAAUGGCCCACCAAGGCUUCGAUCGGUA
rnacentral:rRNA from 1 species